rnacentral:sRNA from 1 species
ACACGGGAAAGGAGGUGGUCCGAAGAAUGAUUUCUUCUAGGACGCGUGAGGUGGCUGCCCGCUAGCAGCCCAGCGCCAACGAGGGGUGGAAGUCCCUCCGGCUGCUGGUGAAUCCUCAGCAGUCACCCGACCCGCAGGUGAUCCGGUCGCACGUCCGCCGGAGCGGCUCCCCGGAGCCACACCUGCGGGUCGUCCCAC